rnacentral:snRNA from 1 species
CGCUCAUGUUUCUCUUCAGAUCGUAUAAAUCUUUCGCCUUUUACUAAAGAUUUCCGUGGGGAGGAACAUCAUGAGUUUUACCUAAUUUUUUGCCGCCCUGCCUGACGGUGGGGCU